GCCUACGGGGGGCAGCAGUGGGGAAUAUUGCCCAAUGGGGGAAACCCUGAUGCAGCGACGCCGCGUGAGUGAAGAAGUAAUUCGUUAUGUAAAGCUCUAUCAGCAGGGAAGAAAAUGACGGUACCUGAGUAAGAAGCCCCGGCUAACUACGUGCCAGCAGCCGCGGUAAUACGUAGGGGGCAAGCGUUAUCCGGAUUUACUGGGGGUAAAGGGAGCGUAGACGGUCCUGCAAGCC
rnacentral:rRNA from 1 species